GGGGAAUAUUGCACAAUGGAGGAAACUCUGAUGCAGCGAUGCCGCGUGAGGGAAGAAGGUUUUAGGAUUGUAAACCUCUGUCUUCAGGGACGAAAAAAGACGGUACCUGAGGAGGAAGCUCCGGCUAACUACGUGCCAGCAGCCGCGGUAAUACGUAGGGAGCGAGCGUUGUCCGGAAUUACUGGGUGUAAAGGGAGCGUAGGCGGGAUUGCAAGUCAGAUGUGAAAACUAUGGGCUUAACCCAUAAACUGCAUUUGAAACUGUGGUUCUUGAGUGAAGUAGAGGUAAGCGGGAUUCCUAGUGUAGCGGUGAAAUGCGUAGAUAUUAGGAGGAACAUCAGUGGCGAAGGCGGCUUACUGGGCUUUAACUGACGCUGAGGCUCGAAAGCGUGGGGAGCAAAC
rnacentral:rRNA from 1 species